ensembl:snoRNA small nucleolar SNORD12/SNORD106
CAUGUGGUUAAUGAUGCACACUUUUUUCCCCGUCUUAUCGACUUUGGUGAGAAAAAAAACUGAAAACUAAGCCAGUUGUGUCUGAAACCACAUG